rnacentral:rRNA from 1 species
GAAAGAUUCAUCGGAAGAGGAUGGGCAUGCGGCGCAUUAGCUAGACGGCGGGGUAACGGCCCACCGUGGCGACGAUGCGUAGGGGUUCUGAGAGGAAGGUCCCCCACACUGGUACUGAGACACGGACCAGACUCCUACGGGAGGCAGCAGUGAGGAAUAUUGGUCAAUGGGAGAGAUCCUGAACCAGCCAAGCCGCGUGAGGGAAGACGGCCCUAUGGGUUGUAAACCUCUUUUGUCGGAGAACAAAACCCGGGACGUGUCCCGGACUGCGUGUAUCCGAAGAAAAAGCAUCGGCUAACUCCGUGCCAGCAGCCGCGGUAAUACGGAGGAUGCGAGCGUUAUCCGGAUUUAUUGGGUUUAAAGGGUGCGUAGGCGGUCCGUUAAGUCAGCGGUAAAAUUGCGGGGCUCAACCCCGUCGAGCCGUUGAAACUGGCAGACUUGAGUUGGCGAGAAGUACGCGGAAUGCGCGGUGUAGCGGUGAAAUGCAUAGAUAUCGCGCAGAACUCCGAUUGCGAAGGCAGCGUACCGGCGCCAGACUAACGCUGAGGCACGAAAGCGUGGGGAUCGAACAGGAUUAGAUACCCUGGUAGUCCACGCAGUAAACGAUGAAUGCUGGUUGUCCGGGUCGAAUGAGAUCUGG